rnacentral:tRNA from 1 species
GCCCUCGUAGCCCAACUGGCAGGAGGCACGGUCUUGAGGGGACCGACAGUAGGCGUUCGAAUCGCCUCGAGGGCAC